UCUCGAUUCGUAUAGUGGUUAGUAUACCCGCUUGUCACGCGGGUGGCCGGGGUUCGAUUCCCCGAUCGAGAG